GGUCGCGUAGCUCAGUUGGAUAGAGCAACAGCCUUCUAAGCUGUGGGUCUUGGGUUCGAAUCCCAACGCGAUCA
rnacentral:tRNA from 3 species